rnacentral:rRNA from 1 species
AUUGAACGCUGGCGGCAGGCCUAACACAUGCAAGUCGAGCGGGGUUUUCGGACCUAGCGGCGGACGGGUGAGUAAUGCGUAGGAAGCUGCCCGAUAGAGGGGGAUACCAGUUGGAAACGACUGUUAAUACCGCAUAAUGUCUACGGACCAAAGUGUGGGACCUUCGGGCCACAUGCUAUCGGAUGCGCCUACGUGGGAUUAGCUAGUUGGUGAGGUAAUGGCUCACCAAGGCGACGAUCUCUAGCUGGUUUGAGAGGAUGAUCAGCCACACUGGAACUGGAACACGGUCCAGACUCCUACGGGAGGCAGCAGUGGGGAAUAUUGGACAAUGGGCGCAAGCCUGAUCCAGCCAUGCGGUGUGUGUGAAGAAGGCCUUCGGGUUGUAAAGCACUUUCAGCGAGGAGGAAGGGGUGUGUGUUAAUAGUACACACCUUUGACGUUACUCGCAGAAGAAGCACCGGCUAACUCUGUGCCAGCAGCCGCCGUAACAC